rnacentral:rRNA from 1 species
AGUAAGGUGCCAGCAGUCGCGGUCACACCUUCAUUAAAAAACAUUCACGGGCUAGCUCUCUAAUAUAAGCUAAUUAAGUAGUGAAAUAUUAUUUAGCGAUUUUUUUUUCUUUAGUAGCUUUAAGCAUAAACUCCUAUAGUAGACUAGGAUUAGAUACCCUAUUAUAAGGAAAGUAAAAUAAAACCCGAGUAGUAAGCUACUAUUUAGUUAAACUCAAACAGCAUGGCGGCAAUGAAAAAUAUUAGGGGAACUUACCAAGUAAUUGACAACCCUCAAGAAUACUAACUUUUAACUAUUGCUUAUAUACCGUCGUCUUCAGGAACCCUUUAAAAGGGUUCCAAAAACUCUUCAAAGAAAAAGACAGAUCAAGGUGUAGCGAAUUUAGAAGAUUUAAGGUGAGUUACAAUGAUUACUUUCGUCGGAAACUAAGAUUAAUAUUAGUUCUAAGAAGGACUUAAAAGUAAAUAAUAACAAAAAUAACUGUUGAAUAAAAAUUUUAUUGUGCACAAAUCGCCCGUCACUCUCGUUGUAAUAAAAUGAGAUAAGUCGUAACAAAGUAGGGGUAUCGGAAGAUGUCCCU